GCAAGUUAGACGCUCUAACCUCACUGAUCCGGGCUUAAGGAUGAUGUUGCAAGCUGCACAUGCAUCCGGCCUCUAGGAGUUGUCCACACGAGCCCACGAAUCUCGAUCAGAAGUCCUGCUUCAGAAAAUCAGCACAGUAUGCUAGUACUGCGCUGAUCCUUCUUUGAUGGUUGAUCAGGUGCCUCCUUCUUCUUGAUUUGGACUCUUCCAAAGAUGGAAAGUAGAAGGAGGAGUUUC
rnacentral:lncRNA from 1 species